GGGAUAGUGGCAGAUAGUUAGUACCCCUUGAUUUUACUUAUAUUCAACGUAUGAUUGGAACUAGGAUUGUUGUAAGUAUUAGACACCUGACUCAUAAUCAGGUGGUCGCAGGUUCGAGCCCUGCUGGGCCCC
rnacentral:tRNA from 1 species